rnacentral:misc_RNA from 1 species
AAGUCGUAACAAGGUUUCCGUAGGUGAACCUGCGGAAGGAUCAUUAUUGAAUAAACUUGAACAGGCUGUUGCUGGUCCUCCUGGGGGCAUGUGCACGCUUGUCAUCUUUAUCAUUUCUCCAAACUGUGCACCUCUUGUAGACCUGGAGCUGGAUUUCAUUCGAGUUGGGACUGCUGUGCUUCACAAGCCAGCUUUGCCUUGCAGGUCUAUGUUCACACAAUCUGUUUAGAAUGGUUGGCCUAUAUUAUAAAAGUUAUACAACUUUCAGCAACGGAUCUCUUGGCUCUCGCAUCGAUGAAGAACGCAGCGAAAUGCGAUAAGUAAUGUGAAUUGCAGAAUUCAGUGAAUCAUCGAAUCUUUGAACGCAUCUUGCGCUCCUUGGUAUUCCGAGGAGCAUGCCUGUUUGAGUGUCAUCAAGUUCUCAACUACAUCGAUCCUUUCGGUGUGGCUUUUGGAUGUGGGUUUGCAGGCUUUAAAAAGUCGGCUCUCCUGAAAUGAAUUAGUGGUAUUCUGAGCACUAUGGGUGUGAUAAAUUUAUCUAUGCCCCUGGUAUGCUGCAUUCGCCGCUUCUAAAAAAGAAACAUGUUUGAUAAAUUUGACCUCAAAUCAGGUAGGACUACCCGCUGAACUUAAGCAUAUCAAUAAGCGGAGGAAAAGAAACUAACAAGGAUUCCCCUAGUAACUGCGAGUGAAGCGGGAAAAGCUCAAAUUUAAAAUCUGGCGGUCCUUGUGGCCGUCCGAGUUGUAAUUUAGAGAA